CUUCCAGUAGCACCUUGAGACCAACUAAGUUUGUUAUUGGUAUGAGCUUUCGUGUGCAUGCACACUUCUUCAGAUACAUGCAUCGAACUUAGUUGGUCUCAAGGUGCUACUGGAAG